CCUACCCUGGAUAUCUUUAUCAGUAAACUGAAUCUGGUCUUUACAUUGACUUGCCAGGAUGGAAGGAUUAGCAUAAUUCUGAUGCCUGUGGUCUUUUACCUUCACAGAAAGGGAGGAGAAAGCGUAAAUGGAGUUUUAUCCUGCCUUGUGAAUGAUCCUGGAAUCUGCAGAAGAUAGUGCUUGUUCUCCAGACACAAGAGGAUUCCAACAUGACUGUGCAAGAAGCCAACGUUUCACCUUCCUUGAAAUGACAACACCCAAGAAAAUAUCUUGGUACUUUCCUACUUGAAAAUAAGUGCAGACCCACUGUAAACCAGCCUACAUCCAAGAGAGCUUGUUUAUUACUCUUUGAAAUGGAGAGUGUUUGCCAAGAGGGUUUCUCGGAAGAGAGGAGGACGGUGAAAUGGAUACCCUGAGGCAUCCUUCUCCCCACCAUGCCUGAGAAACCUGGUGACUGGAUGAUUUAACUCUGAGUACCUUUCUGGGAGGCAUUAUCCAGUGCUGUUUGCUCUUGAUGGGAGAAAAAGGCCUGUAAACAGAGCACAGUAGAGACUAAUCAUCACUCUAAUCUCCUCUUGUGAGAACUUGGAGAAAAGGACAAGAGGUCUGGGGACAACUCAAAGUGGAUGGUGAAGAAGGACAUUGGAGGAAUGGGAAGGGUUGCCAGAUUUGUGGAAAAACUUGUGCAAGAAAAGAAUACCAAGAAAAGGUGGAAAGAGCUGCACUAGGAGGAAAAUCUAUCUCCAAAACAUCAGAAAAAAAUAAACACAAAAUCUACCAGCAAGAGCUGAGAAAAGGGAUCUGGUGUCAGGCUGAAGGUUUGCAGAAUGACAGAG